UUGGGCACCACGCCCACGAGGGUACCCUCCCUCGGCGGGGAAAGGACAGUUAGAGCCCGCCGGUCGCUGGGGGCGGCACGGGGGGUGGCGGGAGCGUGAGUUGAUCCGUCUCCACUUAGAGUGAAUCCCCAAUUGCUGAAGCUAAGUACGGCUUCACUUGCUAACUGGGUGGCAGGGAGAGAGAAGGGGUGUCCACCUCCUUGGGAAUUUGCCGUCAGAAAUGCUGGAGGCAAAGAACGCCGCUGUGGUUGGCACCGGAAGGCGCCGGGGACUGGUGUCUCUGGCGACCGGCCACACGAGAAGGAAAACGCGCGCUCACCUGGAUAGCUAAGCUCAGCGGCACAGAAUGCUGUCGCCCUGCUUGUUCACCGCGCCGGCCUGGAACAGCAACGAACACCAAGGGAAAGGUCUACACUACCAGCCUUCCGUAGUGACCACCAUAAUGUACUCCAAUGGCAAAAGAAUCCAAUCCAGGAUACCAAACUGCAUCUAGAACUCCAACCUUUGAGGAAAAUUAGGACCAGAGUUAGAGCUAUAAAGACCUCAGAUCUAAUGGAUAGAGACUUAGGUUUGGAAUCAGGAAGAGUAAAUAGAA